CAAGAAAAGGUCAGGAUAGCUCA
rnacentral:tRNA from 10 species